UAGAGUUGCAGGGAGUUUGAACUCGGCUGCGAACCUAAGAUAAGCGAGACUAAACCUUAAGCGACUUGUAAAGUCGCCGCCCUUAGGGGGAGUCGUCUAAUGCUAGACGGCUCUUUUUUUGUAAA
ncrna:unclassified sequences DTF3800-I RNA